UGAGGUCAGGCAAGACCACCCGCCUGAACU
rnacentral:rRNA from 1 species